rnacentral:rRNA from 1 species
CUGCAGUCGAGCGGAGUUGAUUUGAAAGCUUGCUUUCAAUGGGCUUACGGCGGACGGGUGAGUAACACGUAGGCGACCUGCCCUUUAGUCUGGGAUAACUACCGGAAACGGUAGCUAAUACCGGAUAAUUCCUUCUGGCUCCUGCCCAGAGGAUGAAAGACGGAACAAUCUGUCACUAAGGGAUGGGCCUGCGGCGCAUUAGCUAGUUGGUGAGGUAACGGCUCACCAAGGCGACGAUGCGUAGCCGACCUGAGAGGGUGAACGGCCACACUGGGACUGAAACACGGCCCAGACUCCUACGGGAGGCAGCAGUAGGGAAUCUUCCGCAAUGGGCGAAAGCCUGACGGAGCAACGCCGCGUGAGUGAUGAAGGUUUUCGGAUCGUAAAGCUCUGUUGCCAGGGAAGAACGUCCGGUAGAGUAACUGCUAUCGGAGUGACGGUACCUGAGAAGAAAGCCCCGGCUAACUACGUGCCAGCAGCCGCGGUAAUACGUAGGGGGCAAGCGUUGUCCGGAAUUAUUGGGCGUAAAGCGCGCGCAGGCGGCUAUUUAAGUCUGGUGUUUAAACCAUGGGCUCAACCUGUGGUCGCACUGGAAACUGGGUGGCUUGAGUACAGAAGAGGAAAGUGGAAUUCCACGUGUAGCGGUGAAAUGCGUAGAGAUGUGGAGGAACACCAGUGGCGAAGGCGACU